rnacentral:rRNA from 1 species
UACAGAGGGUGCGAGCGUUACUCGGAAUUACUGGGCGUAAAGGGCGCGUAGGCGGCCUUCUAAGUCGGACGUGAAAGCCCCAGGCUUAACCUGGGAACUGCGUCCGAUACUGGGAGGCUUGGAUUCGGGAGAGGGAUGUGGAAUUCCAGGUGUAGCGGUGAAAUGCGUAGAUAUCUGGAGGAACACCGGUGGCGAAGGCGGCAUCCUGGACCGAGAUCGACGCUGAGGCGCGAAAGCUAGGGGAGCAAACGGG